UUUAACAUGAGAGUUUGAUCCUGGCUCAGAAUCAACGCUGGCGGCGUGCCUAACACAUGCAAGUCGAACGCGAAAGUCCCGCAAGGGCUGAGUAGCGUGGCAAACGGGUGAGUAACACGUGGGUGACCUGCCUUCGAGUGGGGGAUAACGUCCCGAAAGGGACGCUAAUACCGCAUGACAUCCUGCCUUUGAACAGGUGGAGAUCAAAGCUGGGGAUCGCAAGACCUAGCGCUGGAAGAGGGGCCCGCGCCUGAUUAGCUAGUUGGUGGGGUAACGGCUCACCAAGGCAACGAUCAGUAUCCGGCCUGAGAGGGCGGACG
rnacentral:rRNA from 1 species